GGAAUAUUGGGCAAUGGGCGCAAGCCUGACCCAGCAACGCCGCGUGAAGGAAGAAGGCUUUCGGGUUGUAAACUUCUUUUAAGGGGGAAGAGCAGAAGACGGUACCCCUAGAAUAAGCCACGGCUAACUACGUGCCAGCAGCCGCGGUAAUACGUAGGUGGCAAGCGUUGUCCGGAUUUACUGGGUGUAAAGGGCGUGCAGCCGGAGUAGCAAGUCAGGCGUGAAAUUCAGGGGCUCAACCCCUGAACUGCGUUUGAAACUGUUACCCUUGAGUACCGGAGGGGCAAUCGGAAUUCCUAGUGUAGCGGUGAAAUGCGUAGAUAUUAGGAGGAACACCAGUGGCGAAGGCGGAUUGCUGGACGGCAACUGACGGUGAGGCGCGAAAGCGUGGGGAGCAAACA
rnacentral:rRNA from 1 species